rnacentral:sRNA from 1 species
UUUCCCAUCGUGCUGAGGCGGGUGGCAUGGCGGAGAAGGAUGACACCGGAGUUUGACGAAGAGGUGGUUUUUGAGACAUUAAAAGUACCACUACUAUGGAAGUACCACUGCUAGAUGGAAGUUUGAGCUGGACAUGGUGGCUCACACUUGUAAUCCCAGCACUUUGAGAGGCCAAGGCAGCAGAGCCCUUGCUGGAAGCCAGUGGCAUGCUCUUGAACUUCCCAGCCCGCAGAACUAUGAGCUAAAAUUCUCCACUUUACCAAUACUUACAGGAUCUGGGACACACAGACUUUGAAAUAUGUUCUUCUUUGUCACCAAAAACAGAAAAAUGCACAACAGAGGGACAACAAAAGCCUCCUACAAGAGUCCUACCAAAAUACCUGGGAUAUAGUAAUCACUCAAUGAAUAUAAACUGCACUUACUGGCAUGCUCAAGGAAUGGGCUAUUAAGCAAGGUAUCCUGUUAAAAGUGGCUGAAACCAUCAAAAGUUGGAUUUUUUUUUCUCAGUGCAAUAAGAAAGAUGACUUACUUCACAAGCUG